rnacentral:rRNA from 1 species
UACGUAGGGUGCAAGCGUUGUCCGGAAUUAUUGGGCGUAAAGCGCGUGUAGGCGGCUUUGCAAGUCGGGUGUGAAAGCCCUCAGCUCAACUGAGGAAGUGCGCCCGAAACUGCAGAGCUUGAGUGCCGGAGAGGGUGGCGGAAUUCCCCAAGUAGAGGUGAAAUUCGUAGAUAUGGGGAGGAACACCGGUGGCGAAGGCGGCCACCUGGACGGUAACUGACGCUGAGACGCGAAAGCGUGGGAGCAAACAGG